GCCCGCCUACGGGAGGCAGCAGUGGGGAAUUUUGGGCAAUGGGGGAAACCCUGACGCAGCAACGCCGCGUGGAGGAUGAAGUCCCUUGGGACGUAAACUCCUUUCGAUCGGGACGAUUAUGACGGUACCGAAAGAAGAAGCCCCGGCUAACUUCGUGCCAGCAGCCGCGGUAAUACGAGGGGGGCGAGCGUUGUUCGGAAUUAUUGGGCGUAAAGGGUGCGUAGGCGGUUUGGUAAGUCUUGUGUGAAAUCUUCGGGCUCAACUCGAAGUCUGCACAAGAAACUCUCGGGCUUGAGUGUGGGAGAGGUGAGUGGAAUUUCCGGUGUAGCGGUGAAAUGCGUAGAUAUCGGGAGGAACACCUGUGGCGAAAGCGGCUCACUGGACCACAACUGACGCUUGGCACGAAAGCUAGGGGAGCAAACAGGAUUUAUACCCCGAGUCCAGCCUGUCAUUCUCUUCUUCCGGUCCCAAACCUCCAUUCUCCUCGGCAAGCAUCCGCUUAGUUUCACGCAGGCGUAAAG
rnacentral:rRNA from 1 species